rnacentral:RNase_P_RNA from 1 species
AGGGGAGGUAAAAGCUCACCGCUUUUUUGGUAACAAAAAAGGCAUUGCAAACCCUUUUUGGAGUAAAGUCAAAUAGGAGUGACAAUCAGUUUCCAGCUGGGUUGCUCGGGUAGACUGCUUGAGGCAAAUGGUGACAUUUGUCCUAGAUUAAUGAUCGUCAAUUUACUAUGUAAAUUACAGAACCCGGCUUAUGCACCAUCUUAAACU